CUGUGUAGGCCGCAGUGACGCCUGAACUCGAGUAGGGCCCAAGCCAGCCAGGAAGGAGGAGGCAGCCAGAGUGUUCUCUGCAGCAGAAGACCCCUUGCGGCCCUGCUUAACCCAGACCAGCAUUUGCCAGUGUUUCUGCUUUUCUUCAACAAUAAACUAACCAGGCUGAAGGCAUUGGAAAGCAAUUCUGCUUCCCCUUCAUUCCUCCCAGUUACUCCUUGAAGCUGAGGAUUGAAGCAAGAUGUCCAGGUGAAUAUGGAGAUUCCAACAUGAGUGAAACAUCUGUGGAAUUUGAAAGGAAGCAAGAAGAAACUUCAUAAGUGAAGACAUCCUUCAGCUUCGUACUGAAUCUACAAUGCUAGCUCAGCACUUCAGAGUACUCUGCAAAGCAAUUACUUGAGCCCCCUUUGCUAAGCCUAGUUUUGGAAGUUGUGAUCCCAAACAGCACCAGUUGUUCAGCCUUCUUCAGAUUGGAGUACCUGUCCAGGUUCUCUUGGUCCACCUGUUCAGGGCCUGAGUCUUUAUGCUUUGACACUGUCACACCCUCGCCCACGGAUAGUGAUGAGAAGUGGGAGGCUGGCAACCCUCCAGCGAGCAAAGAAGCACCUGAGAUGGAAAGCUCAGUUGUCGGGCCACAGGAGGUAGCUGAGAUGGGCCAGGGUGAAGGUUCAGGACAAGAAGGUCCAUCGGGAGUAGAGGAGACUGGGGGUGGAAGGCCAAACCCUGAGCUGGACGACGAUCAACCAUUAACCCCCAAGAGCGGAGACGUGCAAAACGCCAACAGCAGGUGCGGGCUCUUAGAAAAAGUCAGCGCCUCCUCGGCAGGCAAGAUAAGCACUGAAUCUCUAACAGCUGGCUGAGGGAAGAGAGCAAUUAAGCCAAGGACUAUAAAUCAGCCGGCAGGCAACGAACAAGCUGCUGGAAAUAAUGUGUCAGUUGAGUUUGCUGCAUACCAAGCCUUGUGUUACAUGGAAUUCCCAGAUUUGUGGUGGAACUCUUGAGUCCCAGGCUUCCCCUGCUUGUAACCUGAUUCCUGAGCUGGGCACUGGAUGACUUCAUCCAGGAUGAGCUGCUGGUGACGCCUUGGACCCUGGGCUCAGGACGUUUGAGAUCUGGUGAGCAACCUGGGUUGUGGGGGACCAAGUUUGGACUGGAUACUCUGUAGUGAUUUGUUCUUUUGUGCUUGUUUGCAGACGCGGAGUGACUCCUGACCUACCAGCUUCUCCGGAUAGAGACCAGAGACCAGACUGCGGACAGACAAGCUCGUGAUAGGCACUCCAGUCAUGAAUCUUGUGCUAAUCAUUCCAAUGAAUCAAUCUGCAUUCUGUGUUCAUCUCACUUACUUUUAGCUGGGCUUCAGCCAAUUCUUUCAGUUUCAAAGCUUCUCCACAGGGGAUCUGUUACAAAAAACCUUUCUCCUUUCAUAGAGCUUUAUUUUUAAAGUGCAAUGUAAUUUUACCUCUAUAGUCACUUGUUGACUUCCAACAUUAUGCUAAAACAUUUUGCAAGACAACCGUUACAUAUAUAUAUAUAAAUAAAAUGGGAGCUAUAGCCAGCAAUC